rnacentral:rRNA from 1 species
UACGAAGGGGGCUAGCGUUGCUCGGAAUCACUGGGCGUAAAGCGCACGUAGGCGGCUUUUUAAGUCAGGGGUGAAAUCCCGGAGCUCAACUCCGGAACUGCCUUUGAUACUGAAAAGCUUGAGUUCGGGAGAGGUGAGUGGAACUGCGAGUGUAGAGGUGAAAUUCGUAGAUAUUCGCAAGAACACCAGUGGCGAAGGCGGCUCACUGGCCCGAUACUGACGCUCAGGCACGACAGCGUGGGGAUCAAACAGG